UUUCCAACGAGAGUCCCCGCCCAUCUCUCUAUCGCUUUGCCUGACGGGGCGGCGGCAAUCCAGAUCCGGCGCAGAGCUUGAGGGCUAUGCCGACGGCAGGUGCUUGACUACAUCUUGCCGGAGACCAUCGACGUGCACCACGUCGCCGCCUUCUACGAGGAUGUACUCCGCUCCGCGCGCGUCCCUUCUCCCUAUGGUUUCCAGGUCGUCUGUCUCCUCCUCACGGGCACCCCCGCCGCCAUGGGCUACUGCACCCAGGGGGUGCGGGUGCCCCGCCCACGUAGCUGCCCAGGAUGCACCACACGGCCUUCUUGAAGCCCGCUUCUGUCACAUCUGCAACAAGGAGGAGCCCACCCUGCCAGCAGCCAAGCUGCAAGGGAAGAUGCUAAUAUGAACCUGAAGUCAAAGCUGAUGCCAUUUAUUAGCUUGGAGAUCGUUAAUCUCUCAAUGCUUUGGUUACAUUGAUUAGGAAACGUGUUAAUGAUAGUGAAGUUGCAGAGACUGUGGUGACAUUGCAUUCCACAUUUGGAGGUGCUGUGUAGUAGGCAGCAAAAUGGGUUGCACUGGACUGUUGCAUGUGAUUAGUUCAUUUUAGGAGUUCAGAACAGGUGGUUAACAAAGGAAUGAUGGACUGGAACUGUUACUUUGUUUACUUGUAGUUUUCUGUGUCUAUGCUAUUGUCCGACUGAGGAUUUCGUCUUUGAUUGGCAUCGUAGUUCAGCGAUGUUCAAAUUUCUUCAUAAUACUUUUUGUACAUCCCUCGUUUGAUGUUGUUUGCUAAAAUCCGUUUGUAGCCAUGGUGUCGGUCAAAUGGUGUUCAAAAUAUAAAUGUCGGAGCUGCUACCUCAUUUGCAGCGAUUAAUUUCCCAGUGCUUCUCAUUGAUGAUUUCAGUACACCGGAAAAGAACCAAUCAUUCUCUAACGAGGUACCCACACAGCUGAAUUUUAAUCUAACAUAAUUUCUUAUAUCUGUCCAUGUUUAAGUCCCUGAAUUUAUUCAUGUCUGAUAGGACAUUAUACACACUUAUCACAUGUGUCACUUGCCUUUAAAUCAAAACUCUGUUGCAGUUUUCUUAUUCUAUAUGAGCAUUCAUGAAUCAUGCUUUUCUGAUUGCUUGGGAGACAACUGAACUUUGAUAUUUAAACAAUCAGAAGUUGUAACUUGCAACACCAUAAAAUUGCACUUUCACUUUUCCAAUUAUACAAGAGAUUCGUCCUUGCUGUGAAUAUAUUUUGCCAGAUGGUACUCCUUUUUCUUUUCUCUAGCCUGACAUACGUCUUUGUGCUGCAGCAUUUUAACAGGGUUUCUAUCAUUUGUGGUGAGUUGUUCCUUUUCAUCAUGUACGAGUUUAGAAAAGCAAACGAACUUCAGUUCCAUUCUUAAUUGUUGAACACCUACGCGAUUAGGACACGAGCUAUUAUUCAAGUCUAGAAAUUUGUAGUAUAAAUACGAAGUAAGCACUAUGCCACUACUGCAAGCAAUUCUUUUGGGUCUGUACACAACCAAUGUUGGUAUUUCACUUGCAAGGGUGCAGUACUUUGUUCACUGUUUCGGUUCUGGCAAUUUUACUUAACUUUCAUGCUAGUUACCUAAAUAUGAUAUUCCAGUAAAAUACAAAAGAUAUGCUUUUACAACAUAUUGUAUUUUAUCACUUACAACUUUUUAGCCACCAAAGAGCAUAAUCAUUUCUAAUUUCUUGCCAUGUGAUGUAAACCACAGAAAUGUGUUUGCAGAUUGAUGAGACGAAGAAUCAGGAGUACAAAUGGAGAGAAGAAGCAUUUAGGAAAGGCUUCCCUUGCUUACCAACCACAUGAAACAAGAUGAGCAAGAACAACUUGAGCUAGAGGCAAAGGUCAACUGACGUGUUCUCUAUGUACCAUGAAGAUAGUAAACUGAUGCAAUUUUAGUUGCAAUGGUUCUCGGUCAUGUACUAAAAUGGCCAUCUCAUGUUAUGUUACAUUUGAUAUGCAUGCAAGUGGAUCAGAAGGACCCAGAAAAUGGAUACCUUGCUGAAAUCCAUUUUCACCAUUAUAUUCAGAUGUGGGUGUGUAUUGCCAGAUAAAGUUAAUGUUGGCUUUAAUUUAAUAUGCAUAAUUUUUACGAAGGAAAACAUUACUUUUCUUGUUUAAUUGCUGGGCUAUUCCCUAUUUAUCCA